rnacentral:rRNA from 1 species
CGUUGUCGUCAGCUCGUGUCGUGAGAUGUUGGGUUAAGUCCCGCAACGAGCGCAACCCUCGUCCUAUGUUGCCAGCGGGUCAUGCCGGGGACUCAUGGGAGACUGCCGGGGUCAACUCGGAGGAAGUGGGGAUGACGUCAAAUCAUCAUGCCCCUUAUGUCUUGGGCUUCACGCAUGCUACAAUGGCCGGUACAAAGGGCUGCGAUACCGCGAGGUGGAGCGAAUCCCAGAAAGCCGGUCUCAGUUCGGAUUGGGGUCUGCAACUCGACCCCAUGAAGUCGGAGUCGCUAGUAAUCGCAGAUCAGCAACGCUGCGGUCGAAUACGUUCCCGGGCCUU